rnacentral:rRNA from 1 species
GACGAACGCUGGCGGCGUGCUUAGCACAUGCAAGUCGAACGGAAAGGCCCUGCUUUUGUGGGGUGCUCGAGUGGCGAACGGGUGAGUAACACGUGAGUAACCUGCCCUUGACUUUGGGAUAACUUCAGGGAACUGGGGCUAAUACCGGAUAGGAGCUCCUGCUGCAUGGUGGGGGUUGGAAAGUUUCGGCGGUUGGGGAUGGACUCGCGGCUUAUCAGCUUGUUGGUGGGGUAGUGGCUUACCAAGGCUUUGACGGGUAGCCGGCCUGAGAGGGUGACCGGCCACAUUGGGACUGAGAUACGGCCCAGACUCCUACGGGAGGCAGCAGUGGGGAAUAUUGCACAAUGGGCGGAAGCCUGAUGCAGCAACGCCGCGUGCGGGAUGACGGCCUUCGGGUUGUAAACCGCUUUCGCCUGUGACGAAGCGUGAGUGACGGUAAUGGGUAAAGAAGCACCGGCUAACUACGUG